rnacentral:tRNA from 1 species
GCAGAUUAGCCUAGUGGUAAGGCUCUGGGCCGCCAAUCCAGAGACGGCGGGUUCGAUUCCCGUUUCAGGCG